UAAGGAAUAUUGGUCAAUGGACGCAAGUCUGAACCAGCCAUGCCGCGUGAAGGAUGAAGGUCCUCUGGAUUGUAAACUUCUUUUAUCUGGGACGAAAACGGGAUUUUUAUCUCAAUUGACGGUACCAGAGGAAUAAGCACCGGCUAACUCCGUGCCAGCAGCCGCGGUAAUACGGAGGGUGCGAGCGUUAUCCGGAUUUACUGGGUUUAAAGGGUGCGUAGGUGGGCUUAUAAGUCAGUGGUGAAAUCUCCGAGCUUAACUUGGAAACUGCCGUUGAUACUAUAGGUCUUGAAUUAUCUGGAGGUAAGCGGAAUAUGUCAUGUAGCGGUGAAAUGCUUAGAUAGUACAUAGAACACCAAUUGCGAAGGCAGCUUACUACAUAUAAAUUGACGCUGAGGCACGAAAGCGUGGGGAUCAAACA
rnacentral:rRNA from 1 species